rnacentral:rRNA from 1 species
CAUAGGUUAAUGAGGCGAACCGGGGGAACUGAAACAUCUAAGUACCCCGAGGAAAAGAAAUCAACCGAGAUUCCCCCAGUAGCGGCGAGCGAACGGGGAGGAGCCCAGAGCCUGAAUCAGUGUGUGUGUUAGUGGAAGCGUCUGGAAAGGCGCGCGAUACAGGGUGACAGCCCCGUACACAAAAAUGCACAUAUUGUGAGCUCGAUGAGUAGGGCGGGACACGUGGUAUCCUGUCUGAAUAUGGGGGGACCAUCCUCCAAGGCUAAAUACUCCUGACUGACCGAUAGUGAACCAGUACCGUGAGGGAAAGGCGAAAAGAACCCCGGCGAGGGGAGUGAAAAAGAACCUGAAACCGUGUACGUACAAGCAGUGGGAGCCUCUUUAUGGGGUGACUGCGUACCUUUUGUAUAAUGGGUCAGCGACUUAUAUUCUGUAGCAAGGUUAACCGAAUAGGGGAGCCGAAGGGAAACCGAGUCUUAACUGGGCGUUAAGUUGCAGGGUAUAGACCCGAAACCCGGUGAUCUAGCCAUGGGCAGGUUGAAGGUUGGGUAACACUAACUGGAGGACCGAACCGACUAAUGUUGAAAAAUUAGCGGAUGACUUGUGGCUGGGGGUGAAAGGCCAAUCAAACCGGGAGAUAGCUGGUUCUCCCCGAAAGCUAUUUAGGUAGCGCCUCGUGAAUUCAUCUCCGGGGGUAGAGCACUGUUUCGGCAAGGGGGUCAUCCCGACUUACCAACCCGAUGCAAACUGCGAAUACCGGAGAAUGUUAUCACGGGAGACACACGGCGGGUGCUAACGUCCGUCGUGAAGAGGGAAACAACCCAGACCGCCAGCUAAGGUCCCAAAGUCAUGGUUAAGUGGGAAACGAUGUGGGAAGGCCCAGACAGCCAGGAUGUUGGCUUAGAAGCAGCCAUCAUUUAAAGAAAGCGUAAUAGCUCACUGGUCGAGUCGGCCUGCGCGGAAGAUGUAACGGGGCUAAACCAUGCACCGAAGCUGCGGCAGCGACACUAUGUGUUGUUGGGUAGGGGAGCGUUCUGUAAGCCUGUGAAGGUGGCCUGUGAGGGUUGCUGGAGGUAUCAGAAGUGCGAAUGCUGACAUAAGUAACGAUAAAGCGGGUGAAAAGCCCGCUCGCCGGAAGACCAAGGGUUCCUGUCCAACGUUAAUCGGGGCAGGGUGAGUCGACCCCUAAGGCGAGGCCGAAAGGCGUAGUCGAUGGGAAACAGGUUAAUAUUCCUGUACUUGGUGUUACUGCGAAGGGGGGACGGAGAAGGCUAUGUUGGCCGGGCGACGGUUGUCCCGGUUUAAGCGUGUAGGCUGGUUUUCCAGGCAAAUCCGGAAAACCAAGGCUGAGGCGUGAUGACGAGGCACUACGGUGCUGAAGCGACAAAUGCCCUGCUUCCAGGAAAAGCCUCUAAGCAUCAGGUAACAUCAAAUCGUACCCCAAACCGACACAGGUGGUCAGGUAGAGAAUACCAAGGCGCUUGAGAGAACUCGGGUGAAGGAACUAGGCAAAAUGGUGCCGUAACUUCGGGAGAAGGCACGCUGAUAUGUAGGUGAAGCGACUUGCUCGUGGAGCUGAAAUCAGUCGAAGAUACCAGCUGGCUGCAACUGUUUAUUAAAAACACAGCACUGUGCAAACACGAAAGUGGACGUAUACGGUGUGACGCCUGCCCGGUGCCGGAAGGUUAAUUGAUGGGGUUAGCGGUAACGCGAAGCUCUUGAUCGAAGCCCCGGUAAACGGCGGCCGUAACUAUAACGGUCCUAAGGUAGCGAAAUUCCUUGUCGGGUAAGUUCCGACCUGCACGAAUGGCGUAAUGAUGGCCAGGCUGUCUCCACCCGAGACUCAGUGAAAUUGAACUCGCUGUGAAGAUGCAGUGUACCCGCGGCAAGACGGAAAGACCCCGUGAACCUUUACUAUAGCUUGACACUGAACAUUGAGCCUUGAUGUGUAGGAUAGGUGGGAGGCUUUGAAGUGUGGACGCCAGUCUGCAUGGAGCCGACCUUGAAAUACCACCCUUUAAUGUUUGAUGUUCUAACGUUGGCCCGUAAUCCGGGUUGCGGACAGUGUCUGGUGGGUAGUUUGACUGGGGCGGUCUCCUCCUAAAGAGUAACGGAGGAGCACGAAGGUUGGCUAAUCCUGGUCGGACAUCAGGAGGUUAGUGCAAUGGCAUAAGCCAGCUUGACUGCGAGCGUGACGGCGCGAGCAGGUGCGAAAGCAGGUCAUAGUGAUCCGGUGGUUCUGAAUGGAAGGGCCAUCGCUCAACGGAUAAAAGGUACUCCGGGGAUAACAGGCUGAUACCGCCCAAGAGUUCAUAUCGACGGCGGUGUUUGGCACCUCGAUGUCGGCUCAUCACAUCCUGGGGCUGAAGUAGGUCCCAAGGGUAUGGCUGUUCGCCAUUUAAAGUGGUACGCGAGCUGGGUUUAGAACGUCGUGAGACAGUUCGGUCCCUAUCUGCCGUGGGCGCUGGAGAACUGAGGGGGGCUGCUCCUAGUACGAGAGGACCGGAGUGGACGCAUCACUGGUGUUCGGGUUGUCAUGCCAAUGGCACUGCCCGGUAGCUAAAUGCGGAAGAGAUAAGUGCUGAAAGCAUCUAAGCACGAAACUUGCCCCGAGAUGAGUUCUCCCUGACUCCUUGAGAGUCCUGAAGGA